rnacentral:rRNA from 1 species
UACGUAGGGUGCGAGCGUUGUCCGGAGUUACUGGGCGUAAAGCGCGCGCAGGCGGCCCUGUGCGCUGCCGGUGAAAGCUCCCGGCUUACCUGGGAGAGGUUCGGCAGGACGGCAGGGCUGGAGGGUGGGAGAGGUCGGUGGAAUUCCCGGUGUAGUGGUGAAAUGCGUAGAGAUCGGGAGGAACACCCGUAGCGAAGGCGGCCGACUGGACCACACCUGACGCUGAGGCGCGAAGGCCAGGGGAGCGAACGGG